rnacentral:rRNA from 1 species
GAUGAACGCUGGCGGCGUGCCUAAUACAUGCAAGUCGAGCGAACAGACGAGGAGCUUGCUCCUCUGACGUUAGCGGCGGACGGGUGAGUAACACGUGGAUAACCUACCUAUAAGACUGGGAUAACUUCGGGAAACCGGAGCUAAUACCGGAUAAUAUAUUGAACCGCAUGGUUCAAUAGUGAAAGACGGUUUUGCUGUCACUUAUAGAUGGAUCCGCGCCGCAUUAGCUAGUUGGUAAGGUAACGGCUUACCAAGGCAACGAUGCGUAGCCGACCUGAGAGGGUUGACGGCCACACUGGAACUUAGACCCGGUCCAGACUCCUACGGGAGGCAGCAGUAGGGAAUCUUCCGCAAUGGGCGAAAGCCUGACGGAGCAACGCCGCGUGAGUGAUGAAGGUCUUCGGAUCGUAAAACUCUGUUAUUAGGGAAGAACAAAUGUGUAAGUAACUAUGCACGUCUUGACGGUACCUAAUCAGAAAGCCACGGCUAACUACGUG